AUGAACGCUAGCUACAGGCUUAACACAUGCAAGUCGAGGGGCAGCAUUUUAGUUUGCUUGCAAACUGAAGAUGGCGACCGGCGCACGGGUGAGUAACACGUAUCCAACCUGCCGAUAACUCCGGAAUAGCCUUUCGAAAGAAAGAUUAAUACCGGAUAGCAUACGAAUAUCGCAUGAUAUUUUUAUUAAAGAAUUUCGGUUAUCGAUGGGGAUGCGUUCCAUUAGUUUGUUGGCGGGGUAACGGCCCACCAAGACUACGAUGGAUAGGGGUUCUGAGAGGAAGGUCCCCCACAUUGGAACUGAGACACGGUCCAAACUCCUACGGGAGGCAGCAGUGAGGAAUAUUGGUCAAUGGGCGAGAGCCUGAACCAGCCAAGUAGCGUGAAGGAUGAAGGCUCUAUGGGUCGUAAACUUCUUUUAUAUGGGAAUAAAGUUUUCCACGUGUGGAAUUUUGUAUGUACCAUAUGAAUAAGGAUCGGCUAACUCCGUGCCAGCAGCCGCGGUAAUACGGAGGAUCCGAGCGUUAUCCGGAUUUAUUGGGUUUAAAGGGAGCGUAGGUGGAUUGUUAAGUCAGUUGUGAAAGUUUGCGGCUCAACCGUAAAAUUGCAGUUGAAACUGGCAGUCUUGAGUACAGUAGAGGUGGGCGGAAUUCGUGGUGUAGCGGUGAAAUGCUUAGAUAUCACGAAGAACUCCGAUUGCGAAGGCAGCUCACUAGACUGUCACUGACACUGAUGCUCGAAAGUGUGGGUAUCAAACAGGAUUAGAUACCCUGGUAGUCCACACAGUAAACGAUGAAUACUCGCUGUUUGCGAUAUACAGUAAGCGGCCAAGCGAAAGCAUUAAGUAUUCCACCUGGGGAGUACGCCGGCAACGGUGAAACUCAAAGGAAUUGACGGGGGCCCGCACAAGCGGAGGAACAUGUGGUUUAAUUCGAUGAUACGCGAGGAACCUUACCUGCGCUUAAAUUGCAAAAGAACAUAUUGGAAACAGUAUAGCCGUAAGGCUGUUGUGAUGGUGCUGCAUGGUUGUCGUCAGCUCGUGCCGUGAGGUGUCGGCUUAAGUGCCAUAACGAGCGCAACCCUUAUCUUUAGUUACUAACAGGUCAUGCUGAGGACUCUAGAGAGACUGCCGUCGUAAGAUGUGAGGAAGGUGGGGAUGACGUCAAAUCAGCACGGCCCUUACGUCCGGGGCUACACACGUGUUACAAUGGGGGGUACAGAAGGCGGCUACCUGGUGACAGGAUGCUAAUCCCAAAAACCUCUCUCAGUUCGGAUCGAAGUCUGCAACCCGACUUCGUGAAGCUGGAUUCGCUAGUAAUCGCGCAUCAGCCAUGGCGCGGUGAAUACGUUCCCGGGCCUUGUACACACCGCCCGUCAAGCCAUGAAAGCCGGGGGUACCUGAAGUACGUAACCGCAAGGAGCGUCCUAGGGUAAAACUGGUAAUUGGGGCU
rnacentral:rRNA from 1 species